rnacentral:lncRNA from 1 species
UGUGCCCAGGACUGAGUGAGAUGGAUGCGCUUGUCUGAGCUGUGAAUUGCAGCUUCAAAACAGAGAAGAAUGAAGAUGAAUCACGGCAUUUUAGUCAAGCUUUUCCUGUGUGAUCAUUUAGACCAAACUUUUAAGUCAUGAUGGAUCUCAUUCAGAAGGUUUUUCGAAAUCUCACCAGAAGAAAACAGAAGUACUUACAGACUUUUGGAACACCCUUGAUAGAUAGCAAAAUACUUCAAGAGUCAGUCUCUCAGUGCUCUCACAAUGUUUUUGCAUAUCUCUCUACUAAGUGAAUUAAAUAUUUGUUGGUGAAGAUGGUAUUUUUUUUUAGACUUUACACAUUCUUCAUUAUGGCAGCAGACUUGUGUGAAAUUAUUGUAAACAGUGUCAAUGUUUUUUCUUUCAUCCAUCCUACUUUUAAACAUUAACAACAUGUUUAAAAAGAUCAG